rnacentral:rRNA from 1 species
UACGUAGGGGGCGAGCGUUGUCCGGAAUCAUUGGGCGUAAAGCGCGUGUAGGCGGCCCGGUAAGUCCGCUGUGAAAGUCCAGGGCUCAACCCUGGGAUGCCGGUGGAUACUGUCGGGCUCGAGUCCGAAAGAGGCGAGUGGAAUUCCUGGUGUAGCGGUGAAAUGCGCAGAUAUCAGGAGGAACACCAAUGGCGAAGGCAGCUCGCUGGGACGUGACUGACGCUGAGACGCGAAAGCGUGGGGAGCAAACAGG